rnacentral:lncRNA from 1 species
CCUACAUAAAGUCAUCUAUAUGUGUAAUCUAAAAAUUUGAACUCAUUGAAACAGUGGUUUGCUCUGUUAGAGGUUCAGAUGUGUAUUAUUUUAAUACUUUAUAAAUAUGACUGUAGUCUUCUGGACCCAUUACCCAAACAGAGUUAUCUCCAUUUGGUGGGUGUCCCCCAGCCGGAAGGGCAAUGCCGAAUUGAAUAUAAACAAAGAAUAUGACAUCUGUUGGGCCUCACAAGGACCAGGGCCUUCUGGAGGAGUGGCACUACCCCACCUGGCAGCACCUAGACCUGAGCUCUACAAAAACACACUGCUUCACUUUGUUUUAGGACUUAGUUCAAGAACACAUUCAAAUGGUGCAUGUGUUUGGUAUCUUCAACAGUAGACCAAGAAUCUAACAUCACUCUCAGUAAUAUAGAGACCGGAAUACAUGGUUUAUAGGAAAUGAUCAAAUGAUCCAAAAAAACUCCACAUUUUUUAAGAAGUUGGAAUUUGAUUUCAUGCAUAACUGUAUUAAAACAUUAAAUAGAAAUAAUGUCAUUUGAAUGAAAAUCUUAUCACAUUAAAUUCACUGUGAAGGCAGCAUACUUAAAUUUUUAUUUUGAAAAGUCUAAAAGGCUUAGAUUUUUAAAAUUUAAUAAUUAUUUCUACAAAUUUUCUAUUUUUCUUGAGGUGAUUCUCAACUAGCAAUUGGAACUCCUAGGCUCUAUUAACAUAAUUCUUUAUUGUAAACGUAUCUAAUGCUAAAAGUAAUAAAAUGGUAGUUUUCUGAGACCUGUGAGGACAGGAAUGGUGUCUUACAUUCAUUUCUACACUUUAUUAUGCUCAGGAUUGCACCUUCUUUACAGAGUAUAUUCAAUAAAUGUAUGUUGAUUGAUGUAUUGAUUUAUAUUUUAAUUAACCUGGAAGCAUUGUUUUGACUCAAAGUGUUUGCAAUUAUAGUUUGGCAGAUACCAUAUUUUUGCUAAUGCAUAGAAACACAAAUAUAACGGUAUGCCAAGACAAGUAACUGUAGUGGAAUCUAUUAAAGACUUAUAACUGUCAAGUAUUUACCAUGAAAUCCAG